GAGCGGGCGGGGGACGGGGGAGUCUGCGGGGUCCUGGGCUGAGGGUUGGACUCCACUGGCACUUGGUCUAAGAAGAAACAACGUUGUUUAGAUGACAGGGUCUGACUCUGCUCUUUCCUCAAAGCCGUUAAAGGAGGACUAGAGCCAGAAGUCGCGUCACGAAGACGAGUGCCGACCCUGAGGAAACACCCCGAAGGAUCCGGGGGAAGUGGAGGAUCCCGAAGCGCAGCGGAAGCGCUCGGUCACGAUGUGGCCCGCGAGACGGAUGGGAUGCUUUACCCGGGGUGGUGGUGGCCGAGUGUAGAUGGAGGCAGCUGCCGCGGAGGCUACGACUGCUGUGACACCGCGAGGGUCCCCAGUCCCGAUUUCGGGCGGGAGUCCACGAAGAGUAAUCACUGUUUGGGUUGGAGCAGAAAUGGGAUUCCCUUCAGAGUCAAGUAUCUGUGGAGAUCUGUUUAACCUGCUCAGUUGUUCAGUGAACAAAAGUUUUUAAAAAGCCCUCAGACAGCGAAGAGGAAGGAUGAAUACUAAGAAAGUAAAGGACCAAAGCCUCGGAAACGCAGCCAGGGACUUCGAUUGUGAGCCAAGUACUGGGGAUGGGAGCCGUGAGACCUGAUCUGGGUUUCACCAGUCACGCCUUCAGGGUUAACCAAUCAUGUUUCUAAUUAUGGAAUUCUCCAGGGGAGCUGCAGUUUAUUUUCGAUUCCUAUAUUUUUAAGAGAUUUUCAUGUAUUUAGCGUGCAAGAAGGAAAACGGGCAGAGAGAGACAGUCUCCAGCGUCUCGCACUGAGAGGGAGCCCAACAUGGGGAGGGGGGGUAGAGGGUGUUUGAUCUAAGGACCCUGAGAUCAUGACCUGAGAGGAAAUCAGUAGUGGGUCUCUUAACUUUCUGAGCCACGCAGGCGCCCCACAUUUCAUAUUUGUUUUUAAUGAAAGCGAAAUAAAGCCAAAGCACUCUAUUCAGAGUCUUCUUAAUAUUUGAAAUAAUAAUUUUUAAAUUGUGUAUCUGGUAUGUUCCAGACCCUGUUCUAAACACUUUACGUAUGUUAUCUCAUUACCUUGUAAGACAAAUUCUGAUAUGUAUUAUGUUUAAGGAGGGAACUGGUGUAUACAGAGAUUAAAUGACUUGCCCAAGAUGACCCAUUUACUAACUGGUGAAGCUCAAAGAUGAACAGUCUGAUACAGAACCUGUGCUUGCAAUCAGUAUCCUUGUAUGGCUACCUCAGUAAUGGUGAGUGUAUUAUGGGACAGUACUGGGGUAAGAGACAAGCAUAUGGUUCUGAUCCCUGUGAUGAAGUUCUAGAACCUAGGUGAGGUUCGGUGGGCUGAGGUCCGGAGCCGAUGACCAAGAAAGAAUUCUUGAGACAUCUUUGGUGCAAAAUGGUGGUUUAUUAAAGCACGGAGACAGGACCCGUGGGCAGGAAAAGCUGCUGCCCCAGGUUGUGAGGGAUGGCAGGUUCUGUACCCUGCUGUUGGGGGAAGGUGAGGGGAAGGGAGGUGUCAAUGGAGUUUUCAUAUGCUAAAGAGGGCCUACGAGGUGCCUGGAUGUCCGAGGCCUACGGGAGGCCUUGCUCUGCCGCUUGAUCAAUGUUGUCUUUUGACCAACCAUUAACAUUAAGAUAGUUGGGAGACUUUUUGGUGGGAUGUCACAAUCCUGCUAUCAAUCGUCUUUGUUAGUGAGAUUUAGGACAUUUGUAAGCCAAGAGAGACUCCUGUCUAGCAAGAUUGUGAACUCUGCAAGUUACUAUUUGCUUAUUGUUAAUGGCAGUCAGGGCUGCCUGAGGGAUGCUACACAUAAGACUGAGGGGGAGCGGAUGGAGAGUAGGGUGAGGGGGGUGCAAGGCGCCAGCUUUUGCUUUGUCUUCAGCCAGCCUCGUGCUCCCUCAUCACCUGCACAGCAUGUAGGAAGGUCUCAGUAGGUGGUGAAAUUUUCCGCCCUUUCUUUCAAGAGACAUUGCCCAGACAGAAUGCUCAUUUUAUUUAUUGCUUCAUUCACUCAACAAAUAUUUAUGGAGCACUGCCAGUUCGUGAGAAUCCAUAUUGGAUAUUAGGAAUUUAAAGACAGGUAAGACUCAGACUCAUUCCUCUAAUGGCUCACAUCCUAGCAUGGAGACAGCAGGUGCCACGAGUGGUAUCAUAGAGGUAGAAGUUACAUAUUAUAGUCUGGGAGCAUAGAGAAGGAGUGCAUAACUAAGAAUUCAUUUGAGAAAAGUUCAGAAAACACUCUGGAGGUGAUGGAAUUUGAGAUGAAGCUUAAAAGACUAGAUGCAAUGAAUUGAAGAUGGGACUGGAAUGGAAGAUGGGAAAAAGAUUCUUGGAUGUGAUUUCAAUUAAUGGACCUUGUAGGAAAUGGAAGCCAUUCAUAAGAUAGCUAAAUUAUCUCCAGACUUAAAAUUCUUUUGAAAGUUUUUAUUUUUAUUAUGUAUUUAUUCAGAAGAUGAGUUUAUUUUAAAAUAUAGUGAGAAACAAAACAGGAAACAUGGAGACAAGGAUAAAGAAUAAGAAGGAGCUGCCAGAAAAUUAUGAGGAAAAUGAACAAACAAAAAUAGGCCAGGACAACCAAGGGAGGAGAGUUUCAAGUAAAAGGUUGAUGAUAGCAGUAUCAUAUAUUAUAGAGGUCAGUUGGGAAUUUCUAUGUUCUAGGCAUGUUAUAAGCUCCUUAUAUGUACUAACUCAAUCAUCCAAGAACCCUUUGCUGUUUAAUCCUCUCAACAACCCCAUCUUAUGGAUGAGGGAAAUGAAGUAGAAGGAAGUGAAGUGUUUUGUGCAAGAUCACGCUGCUGGUAACAACCAACAGUAUAUUUUAAAAAAUCACGGAGUUGAUGGGCCAAUAGUUCCAAGAGUACAGCAUUGCUGUUCUUCAUCUCUUGAUUUCCUAGAGCAGCUCAGAUCUCACUGAAAUACACCCAAGCAAGAGGAAAAUGAACAAGUCACACAGAAGUUGGGAAGAGAAAGACAGCUGUCAAUUAGCCUACAUCCAAAUCUGGGCUGAGGAGGAACAAAGAGCUGCCUGAAGAAAUGAGUAUCUGGAACAAACCACAGAGGUCAAGAUGGCCACUGGCCAAUGGAACCAGCUGCCUGGGUCCACAUUCUCAAGCCCCCUCCAUGGGCACCACUGAGGUGCAGCGAGGACAGCAGAGCUGCUGGGCGCAGUCAUUACAACUUCAGGAAAGGGGAAGGAGCUCACUCUUCAGACAUGGUCCUCAUGCUUCUGUGCUCCUUUGUGGCCUUCUCCCAGUUCGUGUGGUUGAAUCCCUCAGCGACCUCACUCCACACAGUGUCCUCCUCCAGGCGGUGUGGGGCGAUUCCAGGGCCUCCAGGGUGGGAGCAGGGCAUGUAAGAGCUUUGAAGGACACCACUCUUAACAGAAGUGUGAUGAGAGAAAAACUCUCUGAAGACCUCAUACACAUGGGAAGCCAUUUUAUUUUUUUAAAAGAUUUUAUUUACUUAUUUGAAAGAGAGAGAGAUCACAAGUAGGCAGAGAGGCAGGCAGAGAGAUCGGGGGAAGUAGGCUCCCUGCCGAGUAGAGAUCCCGACAUGGGGCUCGACAUGGGGCUCGACAUGGGGCUCGAUCCCAGGACCCUGAAAUCAUGAACUGAGCUGAAAGCAGAGGCUUAACCCACUGAACCACCCAGGCGCCCCGGGAAGCUGUUUUAAAUUUCUUCCUAAGGUAGCAUGACUGGGCAGAAACUUUGUUCAAACCAAGAGCCUAAUGUGUGCCCCCCUCCACACAUACAUUGUACAUCUCUGUAAAUGAGUAGCCGAAGGGAAAACCAGCUUGUCCUUGAGGUACCCAUGGAUGCUCCUACUCCUGGCAUUCCUUUGCAUUUAAACUGAUUCCUCCCUGUAUGCCAAUCUAGAAUCUUUGAGCUCUUGACCUGUAAAACCUAUUCGUUCUCUAGGACAUUUUCUUCCCUGUGACGAGUAUAUCCCUGGCAGGCAGCCUAAGCUGGGCUCAAAUAAAACUUUCUCUUAGGGAUUCUGACAGGUCUGUUCAUUUGGCUGGACAGGGGUGCUGGGCUCGGUGCGCACUGAAUGUGUGUGUGCUGAUGGCUCCCUUCAGGCUUGGGAGGCCUGAGCAAGGAAGUGUCUGUUCUGCUUCCUGCAGACACUACAGUUGCAACCAGAGAGGAGCAACGUGGUAGAUGCCUCCCGCUUGGCUCACUGGGUACUGGUUUCCCAUGGUGUCUAGCAGCAGCUUGGUGGCACACUGACUGACGGCUCCUGUAAAGUCUCCUACUGGUCACCAGGGGAGGAGAGCAGCUGUGCGGGCCACCUCCUGGGCUCAGUGACCGCUGGCCCCACUGCUGCUUGUUCCUUGUUCUGGGUGUGCCUCACUGACCCCAGCUUCCCUGCCCUCUGCCACCGGCUGGCUGGUGGAAUGCUGUCUGUGGCUGGUGUGCAGGCCCUGAGGCCACGGCUGCUUCUGCCCCUGUGGCUUGGCGGCCCUGCUGCUCUUCACUAGCAACAUUAACUUAGCAACCUUAUUUUAUCUUUAAAAGUCAUGCGCUUUGCACCCCAUAAUCUAGCUGGGCACUGGCAAUAGAAAAUAAGAAAAGAUUCGUUCCUUACCCUUUAGAAAUCAUAGUUAAAAAUGAAAUCAAUAUAUGCCGACUUCAGAGGGGGCAACUCUAUGGGGCAAAUUGCCAGUCUCCUUGUCAUAUCCAAGGCAAUUGACACCAAUCACUUGUGACUUUCUUUUCCAUGCAACAAAAUGUUAGGCUCGGGUUCCUCCUCAGUGGCAUACCCACGGCUUAUUAAUCAGAAUGGGCUUUGAUUUGGUAAAUCUCUGUGCAUAAGAGACUAGUUUAAUUUGGUAAAACAUAUAUUAGAGGAAAGAUCUGUGCAAAGUGCACUAAGAACACUGGAGGAAGUGGUGUUUCUGCUUGGGGGGUCAGAGGAAACUUUACUAAAGGAGUUAGGCAGUCUGUGGUUGUGGUGAUGGCCUUGCUCCACAAAGUCUGCAGGGACCUGCGUUCCUUCCUAUUCAUAGACUCUCAUCUCUUAUCUGGUGGGUAGAUUUCUAAUCAUCACCUUCAGGUUUCAGAAAGAUGGAGGAAGAGACAAGAAAAGGCAAAGGGCACGUGCCAGCUCUUUUUAAAGGAAGUCUCCAAAAAGCCACAGGCCAGGCAGCCCACCUGCAUCUCAGUGGGUAGACCUUAAUCUCAUAGCCACACCUACUUGCAAGUUCUA